CCGGAGCUAACGCGUUAAGUAGACCGCCUGGGGAGUACGGCCGCAAGGUUAAAACUCAAAUGAAUUGACGGGGGCCCGCACAAGCGGUGGAGCAUGUGGUUUAAUUCGAUGCAACGCGAAGAACCUUACCUGGUCUUGACAUCCACAGAAGUUUGCAGAGAUGCGAAUGUGCCUUCGGGAACUGUGAGACAGGUGCUGCAUGGCUGUCGUCAGCUCGUGUUGUGAAAUGUUGGGUUAAGUCCCGCAACGAGCGCAACCCUUAUCCUUUGUUGCCAGCGGUUAGGCCGGGAACUCAAAGGAGACUGCCAGUGAUAAACUGGAGGAAGGUGGGGAUGACGUCAAGUCAUCAUGGCCCUUACGACCAGGGCUACACACGUGCUACAAUGGCGCAUACAAAGAGAAGCGACCUCGCGAGAGCAAGCGGACCUCAUAAAGUGCGUCGUAGUCCGGAUUGGAGUCUGCAACUCGACUCCAUGAAGUCGGAAUCGCUAGUAAUCGUGGAUCAGAAUGCCACGGUGAAUACGUUCCCGGGCCUUGUACACACCGCCCGUCACACCAUGGGAGUGGGUUGCAAAAGAAGUAGGUAGCUUAACCUUCGGGAGGGCGCUUACCACUUUGUGAUUCAUGACUGGGGUGAAGUCGUAACAAGGUAACCGUAGGGGAACCUGCGGUUGGAUCACCUCCUUA
rnacentral:rRNA from 1 species